rnacentral:lncRNA from 1 species
UCAGCAUGCUAAAAGAAAGCACCAUUCUCUGCAGGACCUACCCUGGCUGCAUGAACUAGAGUAUUAGAUGUCGAACUCUUAUGAAAGCUAUGCAGAUCUAGCUACAACCUCAAGAAAGCUAGAUAAUGCCCUUUUUAGCUUUAAUGCACCCCAAAAUAGCUCCUAGUUUCACAAGUUCAAUUCUGGUGCAUCAAAUGACAGAAUUGAUGAAGCUUGCACAACGUUAAAAGUACUGAUAUCACAAUAAAUAUAGACCACAGUGUCACAAAGCAAACCAAGUCAUGUCUGGCCAUAUAUGCUAAGUUACAAUGCAAACUAUCAAGAGGAUCUGGACCAUUUCAUGGCAUUUUCAUCGAGAAUAUUUUCCCUAAAAAUAAUAAUUUGCAAAAUUUUAAAUUAGCAAUACUCAAAUUUGCAUAAGGUUGCUCUAUAUGCAUAUUCUUAAAUUUGGGCCGGACCUAAUUCACCCCAAAAACUAGCUCAAGGGGAGGAUUGCCUAUGACCCAUAUAAGGGACACAUUACCCCCUUUCCACAACUGAUGUGGGAUUCAACACACCCCCUCACGCCCAGAAUUUUACUGGUGCGUGACAUAUUCAUGGGAGGCCCAACAUCGGAUGAGGAGGCUCUGAUACCAUAUUAAAUUUGGGCCAGACCUAACUCAUCCCAAAAGCUAGCUCAAGGGGAGAAUUGCCUAUGACCCAUGUGUGUUGAAUCCCACAUCGAUUGUGAAAAGGGGUAAUGUGCCCCUUAUAUGAGGCAUAGGCAAUCAUCC